rnacentral:rRNA from 1 species
UAAGUGCAGCGCGAGCGCGACGAGGUUAUUCUGAGUGAUUUCCGCUGAGGAAAUCUUUUCCUAGAUCUAAAACGUCUGGGGAAUAAGGGGAGGGCAAGUCUGGUGUCAGCCGCCGCGGUAAUACCAGCUCCUCGAGUGGUCAGGGCGUUUAUUGGGCCUAAAGCAUCCGUAGCCUGCUCAGUAGGUCUCCUGUUAAAUCCAACGGCUCAACCGUUGGUCUGCAGGAGAUACCGCUGGGCUAGGAGGCGGGAGAGGCGGACGGUACUCCGAGGGUAGGGGUAAAAUCCUUUGAUCCCCGGAAGACCACCAAUGGCGAAGGCGGUCCGCCAGAACGCGCUCGACGGUGAGGGAUGAAAGCUGGGGGAGCGAACCGGAUUAGAUACCCGGGUAGUCCCAGCUGUAAACGAUGCGAGCUAGGUGACACGACGCCUUCGGGGCAUCGUGGUGCCGCAGGGAAGCCGUUAAGCUCGCCGCCUGGGGAGUACGGACGCAAGUC